UUACUCCUACGGGACGCAGCAGGAGGGAAUCUUCGGCAAUGGACGAAAGUCUGACCGAGCAACGCCGCGUGAGUGAAGAAGGUUUUCGGAUCGUAAAACUCUGUUGGUAGAGAAGAACGUUGGUGAGAGUGGAAAGCUCAUCAAGUGACGGUAACUACCCAGAAAGGGACGGCUAACUACGUGCCAGCAGCCGCGGUAAUACGUAGGUCCCGAGCGUUGUCAGGAUUUAUUGGGCGUAAAGCGAGCGCAGGGGGUUUAUUAAGUCUGGGGUAAAAGGCAGUGGCUCAACCAUUGUAUGCAUAGGG
rnacentral:rRNA from 1 species